rnacentral:rRNA from 1 species
GUCCACGCCCUAAACGAUGUCAACUAGGUGUUGGUGGGGUUAAACCCAUUAGUACCGUAGCUAACGCGUGAAGUUGACCGCCUGGGGAGUACGGCCGCAAGGUUAAAACUCAAAGGAAUUGACGGGGACCCGCACAAGCGGUGGAUGAUGUGGAUUAAUUCGAUGCAACGCGAAAAACCUUACCUACCCUUGACAUGUCCAGAAGCCUGAAGAGAUUUGGGUGUGCUCGAAAGAGAACUGGAACACAGGUGCUGCAUGGCUGUCGU